GACCAUAGAACAUUAAAAAGCCGGUUCUCGUCCGCUCACGAAAGUAAAGCUAUAGCGAGUCUGGUCAGUACCUUGAUGGGUGACCGCUUGGGAAUAUCAGGUGCUGUGA